rnacentral:rRNA from 1 species
AGGGUGCAUGGCGGAUGCCUUGGCAUCGGAUGCCGAAGAAGGACGUGGUAAGCUGCGAUAAGCUUCGGGUAGUGGCAAACACACAUUGAUCCGGAGAUUUCCGAAUGGGACAACCCAUCCCGACUUGUCGGGAGAUCCUUAGCUGAAUAAAUAGGUUAAGGAGGGGAACGGGGGGAACUGAACCAUCUUAGUACCCCCAGGAAAAGAAAGUAAUAACGAUUACCUGAGUAGUGGUGAGCGAACGGGUAAUAGCCUAAACUGAAUCUGCUGUAAGCCGGUGCGCGUUGGCAGAUCAGGGUUGUAAGUUGGUGUUGGGCUGUGGUACCGGACAGCCGGGAAGUUACCAGAGUAUAUUCUUAGCAGAAGUUCACCUGGAAAGGUGGCACCAUAGGGGGUGAAAGUCCCGUAAGCGAAAAGGAUAUGCCUUCCUUGACAUCAUACUUGAGUACCGUGGAGCACGUGGAAUUCCAUGGGAAUCCGGGAGGACCAUCUCCCAAGGCUAAAUACAAACCGAUGACCGAUAGUGGACCAGUACCGUGAGGGAAAGGUGAAAAGCACCCCGGGAGGGGAGUGAAAUAGUACCUGAAACCAUGCAUCUACAACCAGUCGAAUCCUGAUUUAUAUCGGGAGACGGCGUACCUUUUGUUUAAUGGCCCAGCGAGUUACACAUGUGCAGCGAGGUUAAGCCACACAGUGGUGAAGCCGGAGCGAAAGCGAGUCUUAAUAGGGCGUAUAGUUGCACGUGGUAGACGCGAAGCCGGGUGAUCUAGCCAUGACCAGGAUGAAGUCCCGGUAAAACGGGAUGGAGGUCCGAACCGACUCCUGUUGAAAAAGUAGCGGAUGAGUUGUGGCUAGGGGUGAAAGGCUAAUCAAACCCGGCGAUAGCUCGUUCUCCUCGAAAUAUAUUUAGGUAUAGCCUCAUGUUUACAGUAUCGGAGGUAGAGCACUGAAUGGACUAGGGGACCUACCAGUCUACCAAACCCAAUCAAACUCCGAAUGCCGAUACUUCAUUACAUGGGAGUCAGGGAGCGUGGGAUAAGCUUCGUUCCCGAGAGGGAAACAACCCAGACCAUCGGCUAAGGUCCCCAAAUACAUGUUAAGUGACUAAGGAUGUACGUUUGCCUUAACAGCUAGGAAGUUGGCUUAGAAGCAGCCAUCCUUUAAAGAAAGCGUAAUAGCUCACUAGUUCAGCGAAUGCGCGCCGAAAAUUCACGGGACUAAACAUGUUACCGAAGCUGUGGAUCCAGAUGUUAAGUCGGGAUGGUAGAGGAGCGUUCUGUAAGCCGUCGAAGGUGUCUUGUAAGAGAUGCUGGAGGUAUCAGAAAUGAGAAUGCUGGGAUAAGUAGCGAUAAUGAGGGUGAAAAACCUUCACACCGAAAAUCUAAGGUUUCCUGGGCAAGGCUCGUCCUCCCAGGGUAAGUCGGGUCCUAAGCCGAGGCGGAAGAACGCGUAGGCGAUGGCAAACAGGUAUAAAAUUCCUGUACCGUUAUUCAGUAGUGAUGGGGUGACGCAGGAAGCUAUAGUGCCAGCCCCCUGUUGGUGGGGGUCUAAGCAGUCAGGUGGACAUUUCAGGCAAAUCCGGAAUGUUAUUAACACUGAGCUGUGAUGGGGAACGGAGUCUUCGGACGAAGGAACUGGCUGAUGCUCUACUGCCAAGAAAAGCCUCUAAGCGUUACGCUGUAUGACGCCCGUACCGCAAUCCAACACAGGUAGAUGAGGCGAGAAGCCUAAGGUGCGCGAGAGAACCGUGGUAAAGGAACUCGGCAAAAUAGCCCCGUAACUUAGGGAGAAGGGGUUCCUGCCGCAAGGUGGGACGCAGUGAAUAGGCUCAAGCGACUGUUUAACAAAAACACAGCACUCUGCUAAAUCGAAAGAUGACAUAUAGGGUGUGACACGUGCCCGGUGCCGGAAGGUUAACAGGAGAUGUCAGUUUCCGAGAGGGAGCGAAGCGUUGAAUCGAAGCCCCGGUAAACGGCGGCCGUAACUAUAACGGUCCUAAGGUAGCGAAAUUCCUUGUCGGGUAAGUUCCGACCUGCACGAAUCGUGUAACGACUUGAGCACUGUCUCUACCACGGACUCGGCGAAAUUGGACUACUGGUGAAGAUACCAGUUACCCGCAGAUAGACGGAAAGACCCCAUGAACCUUUACUGCAACUUGGCAUUGGGUUUUGACUGCGCAUGUGCAGGAUAGGUGGGAGACAUUGAAGCAGAGACGCCAGUCUUUGUGGAGUCGUCCUUGACAUACCACCCUUGUUCAGUUGAAAUUCUAACCUUGUGCCCUGAAUCGGGUGCAGGGACAGUGCCAGGGGGCCAGUUUGACUGGGGCGGUCGCCUCCUAAACAGUAACGGAGGCACACAAAGGUUCCCUCAGCAUGGUCGGUAAUCAUGCGUUGAGUGUAAAGGCAUAAGGGAGCUUAACUGCGAGACAAACAAGUCGAGCAGAUGCGAAAGCAGGUCUUAGUGAUCCGGCGGUUGGAAAUGGAACUGCCGUCGCUCAAUGGAUAAAAGGUACUCUGGGGAUAACAGGCUUAUCGCGCCCGAGCGUUCACAGCGACGGCGCGGUUUGGCACCUCGAUGUCGGCUCGUCGCAUCCUGGGGCUGAAGAAGGUCCCAAGGGUUUGGCUGUUCGCCAAUUAAAGCGGCACGCGAGCUGGGUUCAG